rnacentral:rRNA from 1 species
GGGUGCGAUCAUACCAGCGUUAAUGCACCAGAUCCCAUCAGAACUCCAUAGUUAAGCGCGCUUGGGCUAGAGUAGUACUGGGAUGGGUGACCUCCCGGGAAGUCCUAGUGUUGCACCCU